AGCAGUUUUUAUGUGCGUAUAAUGUCAUGUAUGCUAUUUCUAUACAGCGUUAUGUACCAUGAGCAAAGUUGCUUGAACAGGGAAAUGGAACCGGUUGAGGAACUUUUCCCCAGUGAAUGCUCAAUAUGAUUAGUGACGGUCUGUUUUUUGUUAAGGCUUCGGUCGAUGACGAAAAUUACGUGAGAUUCAGGUUUUAUUCUCACCACUUCCCAGAGCCAGAUUCAGGUGCUGCAUGAAAUCAGCUGUACUGGGUCUAUUCUAAGAGCGAUUUAGCCUGGUGUCCUAGUGCCUGCUCAGAUACGGAUGGCAGGGAAGAAGAGCCCACAACAGAGAGAGAGAGGAGGUGCAGCUUUCGGUGAACACGACAGAUAUUACACUGAACAGCACCGUGGCUCCUUCCAAGGCAGAGGCACCGGAUGUCCAGGCUGCUUCGAAGGGCUGGCCAAGGAGAGCGAUGACAUCCUUUGCCUGAGGCAACGUUUCACAGACACCCAAAGCCACUUCCUCCCAACCUGGUGCUGUGUACGCCCAGAAACACCAUCUGGGGAAGAGGAAGGUGCCUCACCCGUUCAGUGACACAAGUAAUACAGCUGCCCUGCCUGGUCGCGCGGUGGGAAUGGAGAUCAGCGGGGAAGUUUACACACCACGGGUUCCUGAGUGUCCUGGGCUCUAAUGACUCACUGUGAAAACCUCCCUGGAACAUCAUCACUGCACAGUUUGUGAAAGGAAGGGAGGUCAGUGCCAGAAUUAGCCCCAACCAGAGCCUACCAGGACACCACUUCCAGGAAGGCAGUGCUGAAUGAAAGAGGACCCUGAGCGCUGGCAGCUGUCCUCUAGCACAGGGUGAAAAGCACCAAGAAGUGACUUCCAGUACUAUCCUGACCAGCCACUGAAAACAGAAGCCUUCUUGUCUGCCUUUUGUUUUUCAAUGGCCAAUACGAACUGAUAAGCACUGGCACCAUUGUCUGGAAUAAAUGUGUUUGCAACCAGUAGAAGACUGGUGUGCUGUAAACAACUAUUGCAUGGAGUAAAGCAUACUCAAUCACAGAAGUACAAGAAAGGACACUUUUGGAGCUAGCACACUUAACGACUGUGAAAAGGAAGUAUCAUCAUUCUCUGGGAUGAGAUAUGAAAUGGAGUGUUGUAAAAUUACUUGAUACACUUUUACGAUUGUUGCAUUUUUACUGUCAUAGCAAAGUUCCAUCUUCUGCUUGUCAGAAGGUCCCUCAUAAGUCACACUCUUACACACUAGCAUUUUGAAUUUCAAGGAACUAAAACACAAAUGCCACGCUUCUUUUCAGAUGCAGACCUAUUCUGCUGGUGCAGAGCAAGUAUGCUAUUCUGUAUGCUGUGGAUCCUCUUCAUUGCUGCGGUCUUGAAGCUCUAGGUUGGGGUCACCCUGACAAAAUCAGGAAUAGCAAAAUUGGAUGUUCGGAGAGACUCCACUACUGCAGGGCCAUAGGAUAAAAGUCUAGGGUUUAAGGGAAAUAGUACAUUGUUCUAAAGGCUUUGUAAUAUGGCCUUAUCUUCUCCCAUUUCUCUUAUUCUCGCACGCUGGGACAAAACAUUGUUUUUUCACAAACAAAAUGUUCCCUCCUCCUAGCCAAACCUCAUGCUUAUAAAGGUCAUGUUAACCUGCUUUGAAGCUCUGUGAAUCAUUACAGCUCUUCACGAUGCAGGUAAGAAUGAAGUUUCUCCACAGAAACAGGUGGUUCAAACACGAGGGGUUUUGAAAGUGGCAACACAGCAAUGUCGCCUGCAGAGAAGGAAAUAAGUAGGCCCAUCCAGAGUUCUGAGGGCUUCGGGUAUAAAGAUUAUUAAAAGAGACACAGUAAAGAUGUUAAAAAGAAAAAAAAGUGACAUAGGAAAAGUAAUCCUAACUCAGAUUGGGUAGCCUGCCCCCAAGAACAAUUCGAGAGAUGAAGCCUACCAGAUGCCUUGAAUUUGUAAGCAGCUUGUGUGGUUUUCAUUUUCAUCAUUUUGGUUGAUUUGUUCUGGGCACAGAAGCUACUGCCUGGCUUUAGCACCACUUCCUCCUUCCCCCUUGUUACAAUGGUCAACAAGACACUGAAUUCUGAUGAGCUGCUUUCAGCAGAAGGGUGCCAAGCACCAUGGUGUUCACCUCCCUGCUGUCUGUAGCUGUAGUAUCACACUGGGUUUGUCCUGCAGUCUGUGAGAGCAGUAGGGUUUUCUUCAUACUCUGUAGAGAAGCUAAGGUGUAGGACGGGAUACAUGGGUCCAGCUUCCUGCUUCUCAUCUCCUCGUGUCACCCACAGGAAAUGAUGCCAGCAGGCCUCCCCUCCCAGCAGUGGCCACUUGCAUGUGACACUUACAGAGAUGCACCAGGUACUUUCCACCCAGGAUAGCAGAAGCUCAGACAGAUUAACUGCAGUUACAUUCAGGUCAUGCUGUCAAAUUUUCCUUUGCAACUGUGUAAGCUGUGGCUGUCAAAAUUUGGGACAAACUGCCAACAUCGCAGAAGAAUUUGAGAGUUAAACUGGAAGCAGUUCUCAGGAAGGACUUGCAAGCACAACUGCAAAAACAGCGUUCAAACCCACUCCUCUCUGUAACACUGCUAUGUCAGCACAACUUUUAAAUGUAGAACAAACACUAAAAGCAUACAUUUUCAGUGAAACUGGAAAAGUGUGAUGGAAGUACACAAUCCUUUGUUGAUGGGCACAGGACAGAAUCUAGUCCUGCCUUGCUCUUUUAUGCUGUUUGAGGUUAAUGAGAAUUUGUUUUACCUCUGUUGUGUUUUUGGCCCUUGCCUAUAUGAGCAGUCACUAAAGGACUGCAGGAGACAUUCUAGCUACAAAAUACAGAAUUUUCAUCGUUAGGUGCUCGAAAGGAAUCAUGAUCAUUAGAAGAAAAAGCAGUGCACCUAAGAGAGGUAAGAGGCCAAGGACUAAGUAGAAGCAAUAAAGGGAAUGUGGCUAAGAGGAGGCAUAUCUUUUAUAUUUAAGCUAAGGUAAUACAGAAGAGCUUUUCAAGUGAAGUUUUUUUCAUUCUACUAGUUUAAAUUUGUUACCUGCACGUCAAUCCUACACACAACCAGAGAAAAUCUGAUUGUAUACCUACAGUUGUAUAUUCAAUUGUCUAUCUGUUCUAACACAGUUACUUGCAAUCCUGUCUUCAAUCAAGUUCUCAGAAACUCACACGUAGUGUUAAGUACAUUCUUAUUAAAACAGAAAUGUCACGGUACCAAAGUACUUCUUGCAAUAAAACUCUCCAAACCUACUACACCUUUCUGCCACACAGUGUUCUCAGAACAAUAGGUUUUAUUCUUUAUUGCCAAUAUUAAACAGCUGAAGAUGACGAAAAACCCUAAAUAUGUUUUACUAGAGCACAUAAUAAGGGCAUUCUACAGAAAGCUGAAAUGAAAUGGCUGCUACACAAACUAAUGCAAAAUUAGUAAGUGACACUCUUAAAACCACAGAGUUUUCAUUGUUUUUACCAUUGUUUGAUAGCAUUUGUCAGACUCGGCAGAAAUCCCUCUUGCCAUCAUGCUGAGAACU